rnacentral:rRNA from 1 species
GACGUAGGGCGCGAGCGUUGUCCGGAUUUAUUGGGCGUAAAGAGCUCGUAGGCGGCUUGUCGCGUCGUCCGUGAAAACUUGGGGCUCAACCCCAAGCUUGCGGUCGAUACGGGCAGGCUAGAGUUCGGUAGGGGAGACUGGAAUUCCUGGUGUAGCGGUGAAAUGCGCAGAUAUCAGGAGGAACACCGGUGGCGAAGGCGGCAUCCUGGACCGGCAUUGACGCUGAGGCGCGAAAGCCAGGGGAGCAAACGGG